rnacentral:rRNA from 1 species
UACGUAGGGCGCAAGCGUUGUCCGGAAUUAUUGGGCGUAAAGAGCUCGUAGGCGGCUUGUCGCGUCGGUUGUGAAAGCCCGGGGCUCAACUCCGGGUCUGCAGUCGAUACGGGCAGGCUAGAGUUCGGUAGGGGAGAUCGGAAUUCCUGAUGUAGCGGUGAAAUGCGCAGAUAUCAGGAGGAACACCGGUGGCGAAGGCGGAUCUCUGGGCCGAUACUGACGCUGAGGAGCGAAAGCGUGGGGAGCGAACAGG